UGAGUUUCGGGGCCAAUCAACUGAGAAUCGAGUUUUUGGCACACCUGAUUCAUCUAAUACUUUUUCAUUCUGAAGCCAGCCCUCUGAAGACAAUUAAAAAUUGUAUUAUUUUGGAGUUGGAAGAGGAUUUGAAGAUAUUUCAGUCCAAAUCUCCUUUUUGGCAGUGGAGGAAACUAGGCUCAGACACAUAAGAUGACUUAACAAGAUAAUGUGUCAGUUCACGUCAUUUUGAUGGAACAAAAGUCUAGCCAACGAAGUCCUGGGAGCAUGUACAUAUGGUCAAAGAAAAGGUCUUGGGGCAGUUGGUGGCACAGUGGAUGAAGCACUGGCCCUGGAGCCGGGAGGACCUGAGUUCAAAU